rnacentral:rRNA from 1 species
UAGGGAAUCUUCGGCAAUGGGGGCAACCCUGACCGAGCAACGCCGCGUGAGUGAAGAAGGUUUUCGGAUCGUAAAGCUCUGUUGUAAGUCAAGAACGAGUGUGAGAGUGGAAAGUUCACACUGUGACGGUAGCUUACCAGAAAGGGACGGCUAACUACGUGCCAGCAGCCGCGGUAAUACGUAGGUCCCGAGCGUUGUCCGGGAUUUAUUGGGCGUAAAGCGAGCGCAGGCGGUUUGAUAAGUCUGAAGUUAAAGGCUGUGGCUCAACCAUAGUUCGCUCAGGAAACUGUCAAACUUGAGUGCAGAAGGGGAGAAAGGAAUUCCAUGUGUAGCGGUGAAAUGCGUAGAUAUAUGGAGGAACACCGCAGGCGAAAGCGGCUCUNUGGUCUGUAACUGACGCUGAGGCUCGAAAGCGUGGGGAGCGAACAGGAUUAGAUACCCCGGUAUUGCACACCGUAAACGAUGAGAGUUAGAAGUUGGAUUCUUUCCAGGAUUCAGUGCCGCAGCUAACGCAUUAAGCACUCCGCCUGGGGAGUACGACCGCAAGGUUG